rnacentral:rRNA from 1 species
AUGUUGCUUGUCUCUUGGGAAAUUUGGAAGGAGCGUAACGCCCGGGUUUUUCGUAACACUAUGGUUUCAGUGGGAGUGUUGGUCACCAAGAUAAAGGAGAAAUGUUUACUUUGGAACCUGGCGGGCACAAAGCACUUGUGUAAUAUAAUGUCGCGUGAGUAG